rnacentral:sRNA from 1 species
AUUCUACCCAUGUGGGGAAGGAUGAGAAGCUUCGACUAAGGUUCGAUUCGAGCGCAGCGAGAAAGCGUUGCCGCAGGCAACGACCCGAAGGGCGAAGCGCGCAGCGCUGAGUAAUCCUUCUCCCACCACCA